CGAACGUUAUAAGGUACAAAUUCAACAAGUACAACAUUAGCACGGACGUAUAGCCAUGUUGUGGUUAAGAAGGUGGAUUUUUGUUCCUUAUAUUUACCAGAAACGAAGUGAUCCGAACACACGACCCGGGACUUUGGGGGACUCCAGUGAGAACCGUCCUCGUUUUCCCGGUGUAAAGCUGCGAGCCAUUUGUCUCGUCUCUGUGGGCUUUUAUCACGCUUUGGCAGAACAAAAUACAACCUUUGUUUUCCCUGUUUCCAGUUGUGGUUAGCACAACCAAAAACAACACAGUUUUUCGGCAUUUUGGAGGCAGAAUGACGGGUUUAACCAGCGUAGGUCGACAGGUAAAGAGUAAUGGCAACGGUUUGUUUUCAACGCCAGUCUGGUUGCUAUGGCUCGAAGAACCCGUAUGUAGCUCAGUUGCCCGGAUGUCGGCCCUCACCCUGCACAAAUUGGCGCUGAAUAUGUCGAACCUGGUUUAAAAAAUGUUUUUAAUCCCCUGUAAUUGUAAAACUUAACCUCUCACGGGUUAAUUCGCUUAGCAUUUUGCUUAACUAGCUAAAAUGGUCGUGUUCAUAGACAUAUAAGUAGACGCAGCAUUGGCUGCUGUGACGCGAGAAAUUCGGCCGCCAUCUUGAAGUGGUGAUGAGGAGCCGGCGAGCAGCCUAAACUGGCAGUUGACAGGUAGAAAACAAAGAUGCCGGGCUGGUGUUCAGCGUUUUCCUGCUCAAAUGAGCGGACUGUUGAAAAUAGGAAUCGGGGGAUUACUUUUCACAAGUAAGAAUUAACAUUAACGUACUAUUGUUUGUGUUUUGUGAAAAGAAUAUUACCACAGAGUUGAGGAGCAAAGAUCUUCAAUAGUACUAAAAUCGUAGCCGCUAGCAAACAAGAAUAUGACCAUAAUAUAAUUUGUUGUCAAUGAAAUUGCAUUUAAAAAUGUCAUACAUGAAUAACAAAGUUGAAAUAAAUGAUGAAGAUAAAGAUUGUAAAAGCCAACAGGGGUAAAAGUUAGGACCACAGUCUAGAUUGUGUAGGGGGGUAAUAUAUGUUAGCUAACUAGACAAUCAGAUGGACAGUGGCUAUACAGUAUUAUACAAGUCUAAAUUUAGUCUAGCUUUCUAACCCAAUUUUUAUGUAGGAUAUACACAUGUAUAUAUAACCUAAUCAUAUUGUUUCUUGAAUGUAGGAAUAGCUGACCGUUUUUUUCCCCCUUCUCUGGGAUUAUAUUCCCAGUUUUGUUCUCGGACGUCUGGUCACUUAUAGCAUAUAAGAAUAUUCUAUUACUGUUAAGCAAACUAUGAAUAAUAAAACACGCCAAAACAUGUGUCCUUUAUCAUAGCUACACGUAUGACAAAAAACCGCGUGAAAAUCAGUGGUAUUCAGUGAGGUAAGAUGAAUUAAAUGCGCUGACAGUUCAUUGCUCCUGCCAAAUGAAUUGCACUGAGUGGAGCGGAUCACCACUCCAAGAUGGCGGCCCCGCGUCUCGUCAGCGCCAGUAGGCAGUAGUGCUCGAUGCUGCAUACCCUUAUAACAUGAUAUUUUAGUUAGCUAGCGUGCUAUUUGCCUUACGAUGUUGCAUGAUAUUAAUUAGCGCUUAUAUAGUUUGAGUCAAGUUUACAUGUUAUAACUGCACAAAUCGGCGCUGAAUAUUUCGAAUCUGGUUAAAAAAAAUCUUAAUCACCUGUCUAACUGUAAAACUUAACCUCUCACGGGUUAAUUCGCUUAGCAUUUUGCUUAACUACCUAAACUGGUAGUGUCGUUAACCUAACUAUCUUUGACUUUUUUGGAACGUCGAAUAUAAAAUGGUCAACACUGGGGGGGCGAGAAAAAAAAUUCUCAGUCUAAGCCUGGGCCCCUGUAGAGGGGGUCCAGACUGAGGCCAAGGAAGAAAAAAAACUCAUAGCCAUAGCACACAUAAACGUGUGUAAAAGGGGAAACAUCAAAGGACAUUAAAAGAGCAGAGCUGAUGCAACCAGCCACGUCUACACACAGCCACAAAAGUAAACCAAAAAAAACAAAACAUACCCGGUACACUGUGGAGGCCUCGGCGUGUUCCAUGCCAUUGUCUGCUGGGGUGGGGGGGAGCAUGGCCAGAGACAGGAGCAGACCCAACAAAGCAACCAAGAGAGCCAUUACGCCCUUCUUGGAAGAAUAAAAUGUUUCGUGCCCCCCCGAAGGAAGAAAAAAAUGUUUCACGCCCCACCUCCCCACUCUUUGCUGCGACUGGCUGGACCAGAGAUCCCUGGACUCACCUUGAGCCAUCCGGCAUAGAAGAAGAACUGCAGCAGCGUGAAGACAGUGUCGACACGCUGAUGAAACCAAAGAGAGUCACGUCGGUGAGGAGUCUCAAAGCGAUGUCGUCCCUCACGCGACCCUCUUCCCUCGCUCUGGAGGCCAGGACAGACACAAGUGGUACCUACCGGCCUCCACCACGUGCUCCAGCGUAGGGAAGCGCUUGUGAACCCUGGUGCUGAUGGAGCGCAGGAUGAGAACCGACGACAGGUUGGCGUAUCUCAUCAGUGUGCGGCGAAGCAGGCGGCCCCUUUCGUCGGUGCCGUGGACGUUGCCGGAAACCACCAUCAUCAGGUUGUCGGGCAGCGGGAAGCUGGUGUAUUGACCCCACCAACGGUUGAAGGCCAACGUCACGUAAAAGCCUGAAAAAGUGUGUAUGGAAAGGUCAAAAUAUUAGAAACAGUUGUCAUCCAUCCAUUUUCUACCGCUUGUCCCUCUGAGGAUCGUAGGGGGGGGCUGGAGCCUAUCCCAGCUGCACUCGGGCGGACGGCAAGGCUGUCGUUUCACAUCUCUGGCUGAACAACAUCUCCACCACCUGGGGGUCAGCCAGCGUGGAGAGGUCUCCCAGGUCCUUGUCGUUGCGGGCGACCUGCCUGAGGAUCCGCCUCAUGAUCUUUCCUGAGGAUGAGGAAGCUUUGAGUGUCCGUGUUGUGUCACCUGCCGUCUUGAGCGCGGCCACCAGCGAGGGGUUGAAUUCGCCGCCGUCUUUGAGGGUGACAAAGCAGUAAAGACACUCGCCCUUCACCUGGUGCGGUCGACUGACCACGGCGGCCUCGGCCACAGCCGAGUGCUCGGUCAGCGCCGCCUCCACCUCGGCACUGCUCAUCAG